GCCCGCUUGGCUAAGUGGUAUAGCGUGUCACUAGUAUUUCUAGGAGUCAUGACAAGAUCAGCGGUUCGAUUCCGCUAGUGGGCA
rnacentral:tRNA from 1 species